GCUUAUCACCAUUCCAGAUUGAAUAUAGCCGAUCUCGUCUGAUCUCGGAAGUCAAGCAAUCUCGGGCUUGGAUAGUACCUUGGAUGGGUGACCGCUUGGGAAUACCAAGUGUGAUAAGCA
rnacentral:rRNA from 1 species